CCUACGGGAGGCAGCAGUGAGGAAUAUUGGUCAAUGGCCGUAAGGCUGAACCAGCCAAGUCGCGUGAGGGAAGAAGGCUCUAUGGGUUGUAGACUUCUUUUGUCGGGGAAUAAAGGUAUCCACGUGUGGAUAUUUGCAUGUACCCUAUGAAUAAGCAUCGGCUAACUCCGUGCCAGCAGCCGCGGUAAUACGGAGGAUGCGAGCGUUAUCCGGAUUUAUUGGGUUUAAAGGGUGCGUAGGGUGUCUUUUAAGUCAGCGGUGAAAGUUUGGGGCUCAACCCUAGCAUUGCCGUUGAAACUGGGAGACUUGAGUGCGUUGGAGGCAGGCGGAAUGCGCGGUGUAGCGGUGAAAUGCAUAGAUAUCGCGCAGAACUCCGAUUGCGAAGGCAGCGUACUAAGCCGUAACUGACACUGAAGCACGAAAGCGUGGGGAUCAAACAGGAUUAGAUACCCGAGUAGUC
rnacentral:rRNA from 1 species